rnacentral:rRNA from 1 species
AAGGAGCCGGUAUCAAGUACAGCUCUGGAGAGAGGAACCAGCUUGUGAGGAAAAUCUCUCGCGUGGCGCCCUCGAUGGCCUUAGCGAUCGCCUCGUAGUAGUCCUUGCAGUCGAUGUGCACCAUCGCACGUACGCCUGUCCGAGGAGGGAAAACAAGGGAGGGUAUCUAACCAUGAUUCAAAGGAGAUAUAUGUACAGUUAUUUAUAUUUAUGGUUAUGGGUUGGUGCUUACCUUUGCUUCCCCCCCCCCCCCCUCAUUAUAGAUUUUUUUCUUUUGGUAUAAAAUAAAUAAAAUAAAAAAUCUUGAUUACAAUAGGAUCAAAGAUGCUUCCGGCGAAGCUUCUGUCGGAACAGGGAUAACAAUGGGUGGCACUUCACAUCCCUCUA